GUUUGAUCCUGGCUCAGAACGAACGCUGGCGGCAGGCCUAACACAUGCAAGUCGAGCGCGCCCUUCGGGGUGAGCGGCGGACGGGUUAGUAACGCGUGGGAACGUACCCAGAUCUACGGAAUAGCCUUUGGAAACGAAGAGUAAUACCGUAUACGCCCUUCGGGGGAAAGAUUUAUCGGAUUUGGAUCGGCCCGCGUUAGAUUAGAUAGUUGGUGGGGUAACGGCCUACCAAGUCUACGAUCUAUAGCUGGUUUUAGAGGAUGAUCAGCAACACUGGGACUGAGACACGGCCCAGACUCCUACAGGAGGCAGCAGUGGGGAAUCUUGGACAAUGGGCGCAAGCCUGAUCCAGCCAUGCCGCGUGAGUGAUGAAGGCCCUAGGGUCGUAAAGCUCUUUCGCCAGGGAUGAUAAUGACAGUACCUGGUAAAGAAACCCCGGCUAACUCCGUGCCAGCAGCCGCGGUAAUACGGAGGGGGUUAGCGUUGUUCGGAAUUACUGGGCGUAAAGCGCGCGUAGGCGGGUUGUUAAGUUAGAGGUGAAAUCCCGGGGCUCAACCCCGGAACUGCCUUUAAUACUGGCAACCUAGAGUUCGA
rnacentral:rRNA from 1 species